rnacentral:rRNA from 1 species
GACGAACGCUGGCGGCGUGCUUAACACAUGCAAGUCGAACGGAAAGGCCCUGCUUUUGUGGGGUGCUCGAGUGGCGAACGGGUGAGUAGCACGUGAGUAACCUGCCCUUGACUUUGGGAUAACUUCAGGAAACUGGGGCUAAUACCGGAUAGGAGCUCCUGCUGCAUGGUGGGGGUUGGAAAGUUUGGGCGGUUGGGGAUGGACUCGCGGCUUAUCAGCUUGUUGGUGGGGUAGUGGCUUACCAAGGCUUUGACGGGUAGCCGGCCUGAGAGGGUGACCGGCCACAUUGGGACUGAGAUACGGCCCAGACUCCUACGGGAGGCAGCAGUGGGGAAUAUUGCACAAUGGGCGGAAGCCUGAUGCAGCAACGCCGCGUGCGGGAUGACGGCCUUCGGGUUGUAAACCGCUUUCGCCUGUGACGAAGCGUGAGUGACGGUAAUGGGUAAAGAAGCACCGGCUAACUACGUG